rnacentral:snRNA from 1 species
GUGCUUGCUUCCACAGCACACAUACUAAAAUUGGAAUAUUACUGAGAUUAGCAUGGCCCCUGCACAAGGAUGACACGCAAAUUCAUGAAGGAUUCCAUAUUUUU